UAGGGAAUCUUCCACAAUGGACGCAAGUCUGAUGGAGCAACGCCGCGUGAGUGAAGAAGGUUUUCGGACCGUAAAGCUCUGUUGUUGGUGAAGAAGGAUAGAGGUAGUAACUGGCCUUUAUUUGACGGUAAUCAACCAGAAAGUCACGGCUAACUACGUGCCAGCAGCCGCGGUAAUACGUAGGUGGCAAGCGUUGUCCGGAUUUAUUGGGCGUAAAGCGAGCGCAGGCGGAAGAAUAAGUCUGAUGUGAAAGCCCUCGGCUUAACCGAGGAAUUGCAUCGGAAACUGUUUUCUUGAGUGCAGAAGAGGAGAGUAGAACUCCAUGUGUAGCGGUGGAAUGCGUAGAUAUAUGGAAGAAUACCAGUGGCGAAGGCGGCUCUCUGGUCUGCAACUGACGCUGAGGCUCGAAAGCAUGGGUAGCGAACAGGAUUAGAUACCCUUGGUAGUCCAUGCCGUAAACGAUGAGUGCUAAGUGUUGGGAGGCUUCCGCCUCUCAGUGCUGCAGCUAACGCAUUAAGCACUCCGCCUGGGGAGUACGACCGCAAGGUUGAAAUUCUAAA
rnacentral:rRNA from 1 species